GAGAAGGAAUACAAGCCAGAACUUAACGUUAUUUCUAAUGCUAGCUGCACCACCAACUGCCUUGCUCCUCUUGCAAAGGUUAUCAAUGACAGAUUUGGCAUUGUUGAGGGACUGAUGACCACUGUUCACGCAAUCACUGCCACACAAAAGACUGUUGACGGGCCAUCCAGCAAAGACUGGAGGGGUGGAAGAGCUGCUUCAUUUAACAUCAUUCCUAGCAGCACUGGA
rnacentral:misc_RNA from 1 species